rnacentral:rRNA from 1 species
AUUGAACGCUGGCGGCAUGCUUUACACAUGCAAGUCGAACGGCAGCACGGGCUUCGGCCUGGUGGCGAGUGGCGAACGGGUGAGUAAUAUAUCGGAACGUACCCAGACGUGGGGGAUAACGUAGCGAAAGUUACGCUAAUACCGCAUACGAUCUAUGGAUGAAAGCAGGGGACCGCAAGGCCUUGUGCUCCUGGAUCGGCCGAUAUCUGAUUAGCUAGUUGGUGAGGUAAAGGCUCACCAAGGCGACGAUCAGUAGCUGGUCUGAGAGGACGACCAGCCACACUGGAACUGAGACACGGUCCAGACUCCUACGGGAGGCAGCAGUGGGGAAUUUUGGGCAAUGGGCGCAAGCCUGAUCCAGCAAUGCCGCGUGAGUGAAGAAGGCCUUCGGGUUGUAAAGCUCUUUUGUCAGGGAAGAAACGGUAGAGGCUAAUAUCCUUUGCUAAUGACGGUACCUGAAGAAUAAGCACCGGCUAACUACGUG